rnacentral:lncRNA from 1 species
ACAUACAACUGUAUUUUUACAAUGUAAAUGGACGCAGUGAAAAUCUUGAAGUGAGUCAAAGAAAAUACUUUAAAAAAGAAAAGAAAUAACAGUCCAAAAUAAAUGAAAACUUACCAUGGUAUGGGCUUUGCUCAUUGUUGAAGGCCGUACGGUGACCUAUAGUUUUUAAUGUCUGUGUCAUUUUGGUCUCUUGUGGACAGUUGUCUCAUUGGCAAUCAUACCACAUCUUUUUUUAUAUUACCAGUUGUAUUAAUUGUAAAUUUGAAUUCGCCCUUCCUAUGCACGACACACUGAAAAUUUUAACGUUAGUCACAAACCUUGUUGGCAAAAUAAGAAACCAAAGUAUCAUCCUUAAUAUGCAUGAAAUAGUUGAAAAUUGACAUCAAGCAAGUAACUACCGGAUCAGUAUACGGCGUUAAAAAACCCUCAACAUCCCUUUUACAGAAACAAGGAACCUCUAAUAAUACAUUCCAAUUUUACAACAAAUCUUUUUCUAUAAAAACUAUUUUCAUCGCAUUUCAAUGUUAUUUUGAAUAUGACAUAUUCGGUCAUAUAAAUAAUAAAGAUUUCUUUUUGUUUCACCAGUUAUUCACAC